rnacentral:rRNA from 1 species
GACGAACGCUGGCGGCGUGCUUAACACAUGCAAGUCGAGCGGAAAGGCCACUUCGGUGGUACUCGAGCGGCGAACGGGUGAGUAACACGUGAGUAAUCUGCCCCUGGCUUUGGGAUAGCCACCGGAAACGGUGAUUAAUACCGGAUAUGACUACGUCUCGCAUGGGGUGUGGUGGAAAGUUUUUCGGCCAGGGAUGUGCUCGCGGCCUAUCAGCUUGAUGGUGAGGUAAUGGCUCACCAUGGCUUCGACGGGUAGCCGGCCUGAGAGGGUGACCGGUCACACUGGGACUGAGACACGGCCCAGACUCCUACGGGAGGCAGCAGUGGGGAAUAUUGGACAAUGGGCGGAAGCCUGAUCCAGCAACGCCGCGUGAGGGAUGACGGCCUUCGUGUUGUAAACCUCUUUCAGUACCGACGAAGCGCAAGUGACGGUAGGUACAGAAGAAGCACCGGCCAACUACGUGCCAGCAGCCGCCGUAAAAC